UACGUAGGGUGCGAGCGUUAAUCGGAAUUACUGGGCGUAAAGCGUGCGCAGGCGGUGUUGUAAGCCGGAUGUGAAAUCCCCGGGCUUAACCUGGGAAUGGCAUUCGGGACUGCAAGGCUGGAGUGCGGCAGAGGAGACUGGAAUUCCUGGUGUAGCAGUGAAAUGCGUAGAUAUCAGGAGGAACACCGAUGGCGAAGGCAGGUCUCUGGGCUGACACUGACGCUCAUGCACGAAAGCGUGGGGAGCAAACAGG
rnacentral:rRNA from 1 species